UCGGGCCAGGAAGCGACUCACUCGAGCGAUAACGCAACCUUUGGACUCGGCGCACCAUCUUGUUUCUCCGCCUUCCUCCCUUUCGCUCCCUCUGCUGUACCCGCUUCUCGUCCGGCCGUCGGAAAUAGUGAGUCUCUCUGCCUCUUCUUUAUAACUUCGGCGUCAGACAACGGGCUCCUCCGACGGCGGUCUCUCCUCAGCGGUCUUUCCACCUUCCCUUCCGCCACCGGGCUGAGGCGCGUUUGUCUUCCUCCGGCCGGCGGCAGCAGCUACAGAGGAAGUAUAUAGUGUGUGAAGAAAGAUAAAUCCUCCCUCAGAUCUGGAAUCGUCUUGUACACUCGGCCAGACUUUUUGAAGACGGACAAGUGGCGGCCGUAUCCUCCCUCAGAUCGGUUGGAAACUUGUAGGCUCAUGAUUCCAUAUUCUGUGCAAAUACAGAUGCGCAUUCGAUGGGGCGCUCUUGUCCUAGCGAAGCGGGCGGUCUCUUCCUCGCCUCAACUCAGUCGGAGACUAAAGCAAACAGAGAAUGAAAUCGUUCGGAUGUUCAAGCUUCCGAGCCUUGAAAAUGGCGGCAUGAACUCGCUGACGGUCCGGGAUCGUCAACGCCUAGGCCGUCCGUUGGAUGAGAGGUUCUUGAGAAUAUUGAAAAUCUUUAAAUGGGGGCCGGAUGCGGAGAAGGCCUUGGAGGUGCUGAUGCUGCGGGUUGAUCACCGGCUAGUCCUUGAAGUCCUGAAAACUGAUGUCGAGAUCGGUGUGAAGAUGCAAUUCUUUCACUGGGCCAGCAAAAGGAAGAAUUUUGAGCACAAUGCAGCAACGUACAUGGCCUUGAUUCGCUGCUUGGAUGAAGAGGGAUUGUUUGGCGAGAUGUGGAGAACUAUACAAGAGAUGGUGAGAAGCCCUUGCAUAAUCAUGCCGGUUGAGCUUUCGGAGAUCAUUCGCAUCCUUGGUAGGGCGAAGAUGGUGAAUAAGGCAUGCUCGAUCUUUUAUCAGAUAAAGAUUCGCAAGUGUGAGCCGAAUUCUCAUGCCUAUAACAGCAUGAUCAUCAUGUUGAUGCAAGAAGGCCACCAUGAGAAGGUGCAUGAGCUUUACAAUGAGAUGUGCAAUCAGGGCAACUGUCUUCCUGACACGGUGACUUAUAAUGCGCUGAUUAUGGCAUUCUGCAAGCUAGGUCGUGAGGAUUCGGCUUUUAGGUUGCUCGAGGAGAUGAAAGAAAACAAGUUGCAACCUACUACAAAGAUCUAUACUACCUUGAUGGAAAUGUGUUUCAAGUCGGGGAAUGUGGAAAAGGCAAUGAAUCUGUUGCAAGAUAUGAGGGAUCAGUGUUGUGUGCCAAAUGUUUUCACUUACACGGAGUUGAUAAAGGGCCUUGGGAAAGCUGGAAGAACAGAAGAGGCUUAUGAAUUUUUUCUUCAAAUGCAAAGAGAAGGUUGUAAGCCGGACAUAGUCCUAAUGAAUAAUCUCGUGAACAUCUUGGGCAAGGCUGGGCGAUUGGAUGAUGUUGUUAAGCUGUUUGAGGAAAUGGAAAGUUUGCACUGUGUCCCUAAUGUGGUUACGUACAAUACUGUCAUCAAGGCCCAUUUUGAUUCCAAGGCACGCGUGUCUGAAGCUGCUUCUUGGUUGGAGAAAAUGAAGGAAAAAGGAAUCGAACCCAGUGCAUUUACUUACUCAAUUCUUAUCGAUGGGUUUUGCAAAACAAAUCGAGUGGAGAAAGCCUUGAUGCUUCUUGAGGAGAUGGAUGAGAAGGGCUUUCCUCCGUGCCCAGCAGCCUACUGUAGCUUGAUUGAUGCUCUUGGGAAAGCAAAACGUUAUGAUGCAGCAACUGAAUUAUUUCAGGAACUAAAAGAGAACUGUGGUUCUUCCACCUCUAGAGUCUAUGCCGUGAUAAUCAAGCAUUUCGGUAAGUGUGGCCGUCUGAAUGAUGCGGUAGCACUUUUUGAGGAAAUGAAACAACUAGGGUGUGUCCCUGAUGUCUAUGCCUACAAUGCCCUCAUGUCUGGUAUGGUAAGGAUGGGAAUGAUGGAUGAAGCACAGUCGAUGCUUCGAGCAAUGCAAGAGCAGGGUUGCGUUCCAGAUAUAAAUUCUCUCAAUAUCAUUUUGAAUGGCGUGGCAAAGUCAGGUGGACCAAUACGUGCCAUGGAGAUGCUCUCAAACAUGAAACAGUCCAGUUUCAAGCCAGAUGCUGUGUCAUACAACACAGUUCUCGGUGCUCUUAGCCAUGCUGGAAUGUUUGAGGAGGCCGCUAAACUGAUGAAAGAAAUGAACUCGAUGGGGUUUAAGUACGAUCUAAUUACAUACUCAUCAAUACUCGAGGCAAUUGGAAAAGUCGAUGAUGUAUCUGCUAAUUCAGUUAGCUAAAGACCGUGUACGAUUCUCCUUCAUCUUUUCUCCGGCUUUAGCUUAUAUAUAUAGCUGGUUUCACCAAACUCUUGCUUUGUUCUGGCAAACAAAGAGGUGAAGAAGCUCAGAAAAGUAUCACAGCUCAAGGCAAAGAUCAUUCUUAAAUGAACCGAUCGAAGAUUAUGAACACCAUAACAAUAGUUCUUAUUUAUUGAAGAACAUGAGAGAACCUCUAUGGUCCAAUGUAAGUCCAACUGAAUCAAUCUGCUUUCAUUCUACUACAUUAUUUAUGCAUCAAA